UGUAGCUGGUUAUGUCCCUCUCCUGAUGGCCCAAGCUGGGACUUCUUCAGUACCAUGAAAGGACACCUAAGGUACAAGUGUGACCAUGAGGAGACAGACCUGGAGAUAGCAAAAGAUCCAUAGGUUGUAAACUACAUCCAUUCCCAGAAUUCUGGGUGGAAAACAGAAAACUGAAGGUGAUGUGGAAUUCCCCUUUGUAUGCUGUGAAUACCAUUGGUUAAUAAAGAAAUUGUCUUGGGCCUGUGCAGUGUAUAGAGGUAGGCAGGGAAAACUAAACUGAAUGCUGGGAGAAAAAGAGGAGUUGGAGAGAAGCCAUGUAGCUCCACACGAGACAGAUGCUGGAACUUUACCCAAUAAGCCACUGCCACAUGGCAAUACACAGCUUAAUGGAGGUAUGAGCUGCUAGGUGGCCAGGAAAUAAACAAAUGGCCUUAUUACAACAUCCUAGUCCUAUUCCUGAAAGUACUCAUUCCUGAAGUAGUCACUGUCCUCAACUGGGAAUUGCUGACUAUGUAUUAUUCCACAGAAUAAAUGCAUGUGUUUGAAGAGGAGGAUUUCAUAGUAUAGAGUGACUGGAAAGGAGAAAAACCUGAUGAUUUCCACCUGGCAAAGCUUCAGUGAUGACUAAAGAGUCUUCUUUACAUGAUUGAAUAGAGAACGAACACAUUUUCUCAUUCAGACCUGGAGGGAGUAACUUAGUACAUUGCUGAAGAGAAUGAUGUACCAAACCCUGUGAUUUCUAAAAGGCACGUCUACAACCUACUAAGCCAUGCUCAGAAAACACCGACAUUCAUUCUGCAGAAAUAAUGGAAAGAUGUCCUUUAACUAUGACUUUUGGAAUACUUGUCAUAAACGACAAUCUGGAUCUUGAUUGUGAAGUAAGCAUUUCAAAUCAAGUAUUUUCAUUAGAAGGCACUCUGUAUGAUGGAGAGGUGGCAAAGGAAAGAAAGGAAAAUCUAUGACAAGAUAAAUCGAUGAGCAUGCUUUUCAAUGGCUUGGCACUGGGAAACAAAGCAAUCUUGCCCAUCUGCUGGAAGAUGAGUAUUGAAUCUUCAUUGGUGGGGGUUUUCUCCGUGGGGGACUAACAGGCAGACACUUGAGCUUUCCAGUGCCUGUACUGGGUCUGCUAAUGUUGCCAGAAGAAACAUCACUAGAAAAUCUCAGGUGCUCUAAAGAAGAAGGCAUCUUAGCUUACUGGAGACAAGGACAAAGAGGGCAAGCUCAUGAGCAUACCUGUGAAUCUCCAGACUCACUUACCAUUGACUCUUCAUUCCAUUCCUUCAAACCUUUGGUCUGACUGCUUAUUAUCUAGACUCCCAUUGUUUGUGGCUUGUUUGUUUUAGAAGUCAUUCAGAAUGUGUUUAUUGAGAUUUACACCACCUCUCUGGGUAGGCUUUCAAUCAAUAACUAGAAUGAAAUGGCAUCUUCCACUUGAUGGCAGGAAACAACAAUUUUAUCAGUCACUUAAUUAUAACAUUUUAAAGAUGUAUUUAUGUUUUAUUUCAUGUGUAUGGGUUUUUUGACUGCAUGGGUGUCUGUGUAUCACAUGCACAAAACACUGUAAACAUCAUUGGGGUAUAGAGUCUGCUAGAUCUGGCUAGAAUUAAAGACACUGUUAGUCAUUGGUGCUGGGAGAGCAACCAGUGCUCUUAGCCUUAGAACCUAUUUGUUCAGCCCCACCUUCAAAUUUUAUUGGAUCAGUUGCAGUUACAGCAUCAGGCAGGAGGCAUAAACACUUGGGGAAAAUCAGGAAUUUCGUUUUACAGUAUACGUUUAAAAGGAGCCUGUUGUCAAUGUCAAUUUUCAACCUGUGCAGUUAGAAGAAGGCAUUUGUGGUAGAGAACAACCUGCUCUACAUGGAAAUGACUUUCUUUUUUCUAGGAUGAGAUUGCCAGAUAGCAGAUCUGACAAGUCCUGAAACAUCAGUGUCAGUCACUGAGAGGCACAAGAGAGUUUCCUUUGAGUUAUUGCCUUGCCUCAGUUACUCCUAGGUAACUUCACAUGGAAAAACAAAAUACCCAGGAUAGACUAGACAAUCCUGCACAACAAAGGAAAUUCUGAAGGCAUCACAACUCCUAACUUCAAACUCUACUACAGGGCUACAGUGAUAAAACAACCUGGUAUUGGCAUAAAAAACAGACAGGAAGACCAAUGGAAUUGAAUCAAAGACCCAUUGAAUCCAUAUACCAACAAACACCUGAUUUUUGACAAAAAAGCAAAAAAUAUGAAAUGGAAAAAAUAAAGCAUGUUUAACAAAUGGUGAUAGCAUAACUAGAUAUCAACUUGUAGAAUAAUGUAAAUAGAUCCAUAUGGAACACCAUGCACAAAACUCCAGUUCAAAUGGGUUAAAGACCUCAACAAAAAGCCAGCCACACUGGACCUCACUGAAGAGAAAGUGGGAAAUAAACUUGAAUACAUUCGCACAGGAGAUCACUUCCUAAAUAUAACCCAUUAGUUUAUGUACAGCAUCUGUAUGUAGGUGUCCACUGAGGCUGAAAUAGGAUGAUGGAUCUCCUAAAAUUAGAGUGAAGCAGUUAUGAGCCAACUGAUGCGGAUGCUGGGAACAUAACCCAGGUCUUCUGCAGGAGCAGCUAACUCUUAACUUGCCGGGCGGUGA